rnacentral:rRNA from 1 species
ACUCAAAGGAAUUGACGGGGGCCCGCACAAGCGGUGGAGCAUGUGGUUUAAUUCGACGCAACGCGAAGAACCUUACCUGGGCUCGAACGGCUACGGCAGCCCUCUGGAAACAGGGGGUGUCCCGCAAGGGACCGUAGUCGAGGUGCUGCAUGGCUGUCGUCAGCUCGUGUCGUGAGAUGUUGGGUUAAGUCCCGCAACGAGCGCAACCCUUGUCCUGUGUUGCAACUUCGAAAGAAGGCACUCUCAGGAGACCGCCAGCGAUAAGCUGGAGGAAGGUGGGGAUGACGUCAAGUCAUCAUGGCCUUUAUGUCCAGGGCUACACACGUGCUACAAUGGGCGGUACAAACCGUUGCAAACCCGCGAGGGGGAGCUAAUCGGAGAAAACCGUUCUCAGUUCGGAUUGCAGGCUGCAACUCGCCUGCAUGAAGCUGGAAUCGCUAGUAAUGGCGUAUCAGAACGACGCCGUGAAUACGUUCCCGGGCCUUGUACACACCGCCCGU